rnacentral:rRNA from 1 species
UAAGACCCCUCAUAGACGAUGAGGUUGAUAGGUUCGGUGUGGAAGCGCGGUAACGCGUGGAGCUGACGAAUACUAAUCGGUCGAGGACUUAUCCACAAAUUCUUAG